rnacentral:rRNA from 1 species
GAUGAACGCUGGCGGCGUGCCUAAUACAUGCAAGUAGAACGCACAGUUUAUACCGUAGCUUGCUACACCAUAGACUGUGAGUUGCGAACGGGUGAGUAACGCGUAGGUAACCUGCCUGGUAGCGGGGGAUAACUAUUGGAAACGAUAGCUAAUACCGCAUAAUAUUAAUUAUUGCAUGAUAAUUAAUUGAAAGGUGCAAUUGCACCACUACCAGAUGGACCUGCGUUGUAUUAGCUAGUAGGUGAGGUAACGGCUCACCUAGGCGACGAUACAUAGCCGACCUGAGAGGGUGAUCGGCCACACUGGGACUGAGACACGGCCCAGACUCCUACGGGAGGCAGCAGUAGGGAAUCUUCGGCAAUGGACGAAAGUCUGACCGAGCAACGCCGCGUGAGUGAAGAAGGUUUUCGGAUCGUAAAGCUCUGGUGUAAAGAGAAGAAACCGGGUGUG